rnacentral:rRNA from 1 species
CCCGCCAUGGGUGGAUUAGUGGCGAACGGGUGAGUAACACGUGAGUAACCUGCCCCUGACUCUGGGAUAAGCGUUGGAAACGACGUCUAAUACUGGAUAUGACUGCCGGCCGCAUGGUCUGGUGGUGGAAAGAUUUUUUGGUUGGGGAUGGACUCGCGGCCUAUCAGCUUGUUGGUGAGGUAAUGGCUCACCAAGGCGACGACGGGUAGCCGGCCUGAGAGGGUGACCGGCCACACUGGGACUGAGACACGGCCCAGACUCCUACGGGAGGCAGCAGUGGGGAAUAUUGCACAAUGGGCGAAAGCCUGAUGCAGCAACGCCGCGUGAGGGAUGACGGCCUUCGGGUUGUAAACCUCUUUUAGUAGGGAAGAAGCGAAAGUGACGGUACCUGCAGAAAAAGCACCGGCUAACUACGUGCCAGCAGCCGCGGUAAUACGUAGGGUGCAAGCGUUGUCCGGAAUUAUUGGGCGUAAAGAGCUCGUAGGCGGUUUGUCGCGUCUGCUGUGAAAUCCCGAGGCUCAACCUCGGGCUUGCAGUGGGUACGGGCAGACUAGAGUGCGGUAGGGGAGAUUGGAAUUCCUGGUGUAGCGGUGGAAUGCGCAGAUAUCAGGAGGAACACCGAUGGCGAAGGCAGAUCUCUGGGCCGUAACUGACGCUGAGGAGCGAAAGCGUGGGGAGCGAACAGGAUUAGAUACCCUGGUAGUCCACGCCGUAAACGUUGGGCGCUAGAUGUAGGGACCUUUCCACGGUUUCUGUGUCGUAGCUAACGCAUUAAGCGCCCCGCCUGGGGAGUACGGCCG